rnacentral:rRNA from 1 species
GAUGAACGCUGGCGGCGUGCCUAAUACAUGCAAGUCGAGCGAAUGGAUUGAGAGCUUGCUCUUAUGAAGUUAGCGGCGGACGGGUGAGUAACACGUGGGUAACCUGCCCAUAAGACUGGGAUAACUCCGGGAAACCGGGGCUAAUACCGGAUAACAUUUUGAACCGCAUGGUUCGAAAUUGAAAGGCGGCUUCGGCUGUCACUUAUGGAUGGACCCGCGUCGCAUUAGCUAGUUGGUGAGGUAACGGCUCACCAAGGCAACGAUGCGUAGCCGACCUGGGAGGGGGGUCGGCCACACUGGGAAGGAGACACGGCCCAGACUCCUACGGGAGGCAGCAGUAGGGAAUCUUCCGCAAUGGACGAAAGUCUGACGGAGCAACGCCGCGUGAGUGAUGAAGGCUUUCGGGUCGUAAAACUCUGUUGUUAGGGAAGAACAAGUGCUAGUUGAAUAAGCUGGCACCUUGACGGUACCUAACCAGAAAGCCACGGCUAACUACGUGCCAGCCGCCGCCGUAA